GGAGGAGCUCCGGUGAGCAAACCGACACACAAACCGAGUGGAAAAUGUGAAAAGAAGGAUCCGGGACCGAGAAUAACGACACAAAACCGUCAUAACAGUGUUUAUCUGCGGAUAUGAGAUCAUAUGUAACUGGACAGAAUCGCUGAAGGGUGUUAAAGCAGCACUAUGACAAACACACUCAUCUCAGAGACAUGGAUAGAGUUUGUGGAAAUCUCACUCUUUAGGGCCUGAAAUACCCCAACCCUAAUCAUCACCUUCUGGGUCUGUAUUCAUUCAAUCUGUGUCCUGAAAGAGGAGCUGUCACUCAAACUCAUCAAGAUGAUGGACGGGUGUCUCCACAGACACCCUCACAGGGUUUGAGCAUGCCCAGUAGCAUCUAAACUCCCCUGGUGAGCCGCCGGACACAGAACAUGGCCCAGACCAGUCUACUGCAGGGCAAGCGCUUCUACUGCCGAGAGUGGGUUUUCCACAAGAUCCAGCACUGCCUGAAAGAGAAAACCAACAACCUCAGCGUUCCGGGAACCACAGAAUCGCUGAACCCUGGCAGCGGGCCGCUCCCUGGGCCGGGUAAGGCUGGGUCGUGGGGGGUUCUGCUGGUAGGCGGGCCAGGCAGUGGGAAGACUGCUUUAUGUACGGAGUUACUGUGGCCCGGUUCCGUUCACGGCGUCCACCGCGGGCUGCACCAGCACUGUCUGGGCUUCCACUUCUGUCGGGCAGAAGACUCGGACACACUGUGUGUGAGCACGUUUGUCCGUGGGCUGGUGGCUCAGAUAUGCCAGUCAGGACUCGUCCCGGAUUAUGAAGAGAAAGUGAGAGAGCCGGCGAUCCAGAGCGCUCUUCAGCUGGGAGAGUGUGAGAGAAACCCUGCAGAGACCUUCAAGAGGUGUGUGUUGUUGUCGUUGUUGAGUUGUAAAGCUCCGUCUCAGGCCCUGUUUCUGUUGGUGGAUUCAGUGGAUGAGGGCUUUCCAUCAGGAGAAAGAGAUCAGAGGUCAAAUAUCGCCGAGCUGCUGGCCGCCCAUCAUGAGCUCUUCCCGCCCUGGCUGCUGCUGCUCUGCUCCGCUCGACGACAGAACAAACACAUCACCAAACUCUUCACAGGUUUCCGAAAGAUCAGCCUGGAUGACCUGCGGAAAGCCUACAUCGUAAAAGAUGUGCAGCAAUACAUACUCCACCGGCUAGACCAAGAGGAGGCACUACGGCAACACCUCACCAAGGAGACAGCAGAGAUGCUGAACCAGCUUCACAUUAAAAGCAGCGGCUGCUUCCUGUACCUUGAGCGUGUUCUCGAUGGAGUGGUUGAGAACUUCAUCAUGCUCCGGGAAAUUCGAGACAUCCCCGGGACGCUUAAUGGACUCUACCUUUGGCUCUGCCAGAGGUUGUUUGUCAGAAAGCAGUUUGCUAAAGUCCAACCCAUCCUAAACGUGAUUCUGGCUGCCUGCAGACCACUGACUGUCAGGGAGCUUUAUCAUGCUGUCUGGACUAAAAACAUGACUCUGACGAUGGAGGACUUUCAGAAGAAGAUGGAUAUCCUCUCCAAGCUCCUCGUCGAUGGACUUGGCAGCACUAAGAUCUUGUUUCACUAUAGCUUUGCUGAAUGGCUCCUGGAUGUUAAACACUGCACACAAAAAUACCUUUGCAAUGCGGCUGAAGGACAUCGUAUGAUGGCCAUGAGUUGCACAUGCAGAGCAAAACAGCUGAAACCUCUGGAGGUACAGGAGUUUGCCUACCACCUGAUUAACUCUAACCUGCAGAUUGAGCCAUUUAAUCUUGCCCUUUGGAUGGUGUGGAAUGGCACACCUGCAAAAGACUCCCUGUCCACUUCCAUACCAAAAGAACAGGAGGUACUCCAACUGCUGGUCAAAGCUGGUGCUCAUGUCAACAAUGAAGAUGACCAUGCUUCAUGCAUUAUGCAACAGGCAUUGGAACGUGAGGACUCUAUUCGAACUCUGCUAGAUAAUGGGGCUUCUGUUAACCAGACUGACUCCAGCGGGAGAACUCUGUUAGCCAAUGCUGCAUAUAGCGGCAAUCUGGAUGUCGUUAACCUACUUAUCUCCAGGAGAGCCAACAUGGAGUUGGAGGACAACCACGGACAGACAGCGCUUACUCUUGCAGCUAGACAGGGCCACACCAAGGUUGUCAACUGUCUCAUCGGAUGUGAUGUUAACAUCAACCACACGGACCGUGACGGCUGGACCGCCCUCAGGUCUGCAGCCUGGGGUGGUCACUCAGAGGUUGUGUCUGCACUCCUGUAUGCAGGUGCUAAGGUGGACUGUGCAGAUGCAGACAGUAGGACUGCCCUGAGAGCUGCUGCCUGGGGAGGCCAUGAGGAUAUUGUCCUCAACCUUCUUCAACAUGGAGCCGAAGUCAACAAGGCAGAUAAUGAAGGACGAACUGCACUGAUCGCUGCAGCAUAUAUGGGGCACAGAGAAAUUGUGGAGCAUCUGUUGGAUCACGGAGCCGAGGUAAACCAUGAGGACGUGGAUGGCAGAACUGCGCUUUCCGUUGCAGCUCUUUGCGUGCCUGCCAGCAAGGGUCACGCUGCCGUUGUGAGUCUACUAAUCGACCGUGGAGCGGAGGUUGACCACUGUGACAAAGAUUGUAUGACCCCUCUUCUGGUGGCUGCUUACGAAGGCCAUGUAGACGUGGUAGAUCUGCUUCUUGAAGGAGGGGCAGAUGUUGAUCACACUGAUAAUAAUGGGAGAACGCCUCUGCUCGCUGCAGCAUCCAUGGGACAUGCUUCUGUUGUCAAUACUUUGCUGUUCUGGGGUGCGGCAGUGGACAGUAUCGACAGUGAAGGCAGAACCGUGUUGAGCAUUGCAUCCGCACAGGGCAAUGUGGAGGUUGUCCGAACUCUGCUGGACAGAGGACUGGAUGAGAACCACAGAGAUGAUGCAGGCUGGACGCCACUACAUAUGGCAGCUUUUGAGGGACACAGACAAGUAUGUGAUGCUCUCAUUGAACAAGGUGCCCGCUCCACAGAGGUUGAUAAUGAUGGACGUAUCCCAAUGAUUCUGGCUGCUCAAGAGGGCCAUUAUGACUGUGUGCACAUCCUUCUUGAGAAUAAGUCCUGUAUCGACCAGAGAGGGUAUGAUGGGAGGAAUGCUGUCAGAGUUGCAGCGAUUGAGGGACACAGAGACAUUGUGGAGUUGUUGCUGAGUUACGGGGCAGAUAUUGACUUCAAGGAUGCAGAUGGUCGUCCAACACUCUACAUCCUAGCGCUUGAGAAUCAGCUGGCAAUGGCAGAGUACUUUCUAGAAAACGGAGCCAAUGUAGAGGCCAGUGAUAUGGAAGGAAGAACAGCCCUGCAUGUGUCGUGUUGGCAGGGCCACUUCGAGAUGGUCCGAUUGCUAAUUAACUACCAUGCGAAUGUGAACUCCUGUGAUAACGAAAAGCGAUCAGCACUCCAAUCAGCAGCUUGGCAAGGGCACACAAAAAUUGUUCAAAUCUUGAUUGACAACGGCACUGUUGUAGAUCACACAUGCAACCAGGGUGCUACCGCUCUUGGCAUUGCAGCUCAGGAGGGGCACAUCGAUGUGGUCCAGAUUCUUCUAGAACAUGGUGCAGAUCCUAAUCAUGCUGAUCAGUUUGGGCGAACUGCCAUGAGAGUGGCAGCCAAAGGUGGUCACACCUCCAUUAUUAAACUCUUGGAGAAAUAUGGUGCAACAAGUUUCAAUGGCUGCAACCCAUCUCCUAUCCACACCAUGGAGCAACAAACACCAGUAUCAGUUUCUGGGAAAGUUAAAUCUCUUACUAUAAAGUCCAGCAGCUCUGGAAGCACAGGAGCUGGAGAUGUGCAUUCUACGGGUCGGGGUCAAUCCAAUGGACCUGUUCAUGUGUUCAGCUCCCCAUCAGAGUCUCCAGACUCAACUGUAGACAGACAGAAGUCCUCGCUUUCCAACAACUCACUCAAAAGUUCAAAGAACUCUUCUCUGAGGACCACCUCGUCCACUGCAACAGCUCAGACUGUUCCCAUUGACAGCGUCCAUACACUCUCCUUCAUUGAGCAGAUCCAGCAGCAUUCACUGCCUCGCAGUCGCAGUCGGCAAUCCAUAGUUUCUCCAUCCUCCACCACCAGGUCCAUCAGCACUCAGCCUGGCUCUCCGACCACCGAGUUUGACUGGAGCCAGUUAAAGCCAGGCCUCAAGUCCACCAAAGCAUCCAAGAAUGGCAACAACUGCUCCAACAAAGGAAUAUCUGGUGAGAAGAAGUCCAAGAACAGCUCUCAUCCACAGGAUCAGAUAGUGGAGUAUGAGCUGACUCAGCUUGAUAAAAGGCUUGUGCUCAAUAAGCCAGUGUCCAGUAUUGCUGUGAAGGACCCUCAGUGUAAGGUCAUGGUGGGCAGAUCCAGUGCUCUGGAAUCUGUCCAAUCACAUGAGCAGUUUUACAUUCAGCCACAGAGCUGUGCAGAGAAGAAGAGGAAUGGCAUCAUGACCAACCCCAACUAUCACCUGCAGGGAAACCAGGUUUUUCUUGGGAGAGUUUCAGUCCCCAGAACUGUUCCCUGUAGGGGACAUCAGGACCUACUGGACAAUUACCCAAUAGGGGAUACAGAAUUAAGCCUGAAACAAGCCCUACAGCUCCAGAUUGAAGGAUCAGAACCUGGGUUAAACUGCAAAAAAGAAACACCAUUGUAACUGGUGAGUUAAGUACUUGAAUUUUCUAAAGGAAAUAGUAAAGCUUGGGAAUACUUCAUUUUUCUGCUUGCCUUUCCAUCUCACAUUCAGUCGAGUGCUCAGCCUUUCAAAAUAUACUCUUUUGACCACGAGCAAUUUGCUGCAUGCACACUACGUCUACUUUGUGAUACUCUUGGUUCAGUCAAUGGCAGUUGCAUGCGGCAACUAUGCACGCAGACGAGAACUGUCCAUGUGUCUUGAAAAACUGGGAUGCACGCGGACAAUAACAGCAUGCAGAAACCCGAAGUAUACUUUGGCAUUGAAACAGUUGAAUAUAUUUUAAUUGGCAAAGAUGUCUUAAUCUUUAUUCACCAUUUAGAAAGAGACUGUGCCAAAGCAAACGCUUUCAUCCGCAAAAGAACUUAAGCCAUUUUUCCACAGUUCUCUGUGGAACAUCUCAAGAAGAAAGGAACUUGAGAGAACCGAAGGGAAGGAGGUCGCCCCAGGGUGACGCAAACGAAUACUUGUGCCUGUCGAUGCUCCAGCCUUCUCGUGGUGAUCAUGAUGCACACAGAUGCUUUUAAUUUAAUGCAUUAAUAUUUAAUAGGCAGUGGAUGCACUUUCUUCCUUUUUUAAGAAAAAUCUAAAUUGUAAUUUGUUUAUUUGCCUUUUGGUUGUUGUUUUUGGAUUUUUUUUAUUAUUAUCAGAGUUUAUGUUAAAAAAAAAGAAAUGUUUCUGUUUGUUUCAUGUUAGUUUUGUCUUGGCCUGUAUAAGUGCAAAUUGACAUCAAUGUGCCACUGAAGUACAUUGUUUACUCUGACAAACAUUACAAACUUUCUGCCAUAUUUACCUUUUUAAACUGUAAAUCUCUUAAAGACAUAGUUCACCCCAAAAUGGAAAUCCUAUCCACAUUUAUUCAGCCUCAUUCCAAACCCAUUUGAACUUCUUUCUUUUAUGAUACACAAAAUGAGAUGUUAACAAAAUGUCUGACCUUCUGUUUUCCAUACAGUUAAUGUGGAUGUUGAAUUACAACGCCAAGCUUCUAAAGAGUCGUGUGAACAUUUUACCUAAGAUUAUUUUCCACAGAAGAAAGUCAGUCAUACAAGUUUGCAAUGACAGUAGGAUGAGUAAAUAAUGGUAACAUUUUGGGGUGAACUAUUUGUUUAAAGUCUAGUCCAUUAGUCAUGCAGUGAUCUCAUUUAAUCCUGAAAACAGUCUUAGUUUACUCUUAUACAUUUAUUUGCUUCCAUGGGUACCGUAUUGCUCAUUUCAUGGUGCUAUAUUUUGCCGUUGCCUGCAUUUGUUUUUCUUUUUUUUUUUUUUAACAGGCCUGAACCACUAAGGUCUUAUUCCGUCAUUUUAACUCAGUGUUUUGUUCGUAGUAUUAUUGAUGCCCUUAAAAAAAGUUACUCUGGCUUUACCAUACUUCAUUAUUUAGUCCCUGUGGGACCUGUUUUGUUUUGUUUAAUUUUAUGUUCGUUUAUUUACAUAUUUACAUAUUUAAAUAACUGACGUGUAUGCUCAACUGCAGAGUUUGGUGCUAAAUGCGAAGUUCUCUGCGAUUACAACACAACGGUGGUUUGUGAUGUGGCAAGAAAGCAGCGGACAGUAUCAGGGAGUUCAGACGUUCAGGUCGGCGAAAGGUCAUAAUUCUUUUUACUCAAGCAAAGCAGCAAACCGCAGUAAUAUUACGGUUUCAGGACGGAGUUGAAAUGUAUACUCCGCAAGCCAAAGUUAACACAGCGUCAACACAAAGAAAAAAAAAUGGCCUUCAGAAGGCAGAUCUCGUGUCCCUGAGCCGUGGCUCUUUGUGGGGGAGGGUGUGGAGUGGAUUUCAGACAUCUGUUUGCUAUGAGAGACGAGACUUUCAGUAAGACCGUAUUGAGUGUAACUGCAUCAGAAAACUUGUCUUCUGAAGAAUUACAGAGAGGCACUUUAUAAUGCCUGGGAGAGCGAGACUGAAGAUGAAGACUGUAUUCAGUAGCGUCAAGCCAUCUGCUUUACUGCCGUUUUUUUGCCUUUUGUUCAGCUGUUUUGAUUCUGAGCCUGGAGUUCAUUUCAAGAGAAGUUUGAUUGUAAAAAGCUGUCUAUGUACAACUUUUGCAUUUUUGAAAUUACAUUUCCUGUAUUAUAUAUUGAGCUUAAUUUUCUGACAUUAAAGUGCUUAAUAAAAAUAUCUGCUUUUCUGCCAAA